rnacentral:rRNA from 1 species
UACGUAGGGUGCGAGCGUUAAUCGGAAUUACUGGGCGUAAAGGGUGCGCAGGCGGUCCUGCAAGUCAGGCGUGAAAUCCCCGGGCUUAACCUGGGAAUGGCACUUGAAACUACGGGACUGGAGUAUGGCAGAGGGAGGUGGAAUUCCACGUGUAGCGGUGAAAUGCGUAGAGAUGUGGAGGAACACCGAUGGCGAAGGCAAUCCCCUGGGCCUGUACUGACGCUCAUGCACGAAAGCGUGGGGAGCAAACAGG